GACGAACCGUGCUAACGUUAUUCGGAAUCACUGGGCUUAAAGGGCGCGUAGGCGGGCAGCCAAGUCCGGGGUGAAAGCGUUCGGCUCAACCGGACAAGUGCCUUUGAUACUGGCGGCCUCGAGGGAGGUAGGGGCGCGUGGAACUUCCGGUGGAGCGGUGAAAUGCGUAGAUAUCGGAAGGAACGCCGGUGGCGAAAGCGGCGCGCUGGAUCUCUUCUGACGCUGAGGCGCGAAAGCCAGGGGAGCAAACGGG
rnacentral:rRNA from 1 species